GUGCUCACUUCAGCAGCACAUAUACUAAAAUUGGAACAAUACAGAGAAGAUCGGCAUGGCCCCCGUGCAAGGAUGACAUGCAAAUUUGUGAAGCAUUCCGUAUUUUU
rnacentral:snRNA from 1 species